GAAAUGUAAACAAACACAAUUUUCCGAGUUUUUGAUUCGGAUCCGAACAUUCGAGCAUCAACUGAACCGGAUUCAAGCGCGUCCGGCGAGCUGCGCGAUGAACCAACACAAGAAAAUCGACAAAGAGUCGCUGCUGCCACGGCUGGGAAAAUUUAGGAGUAAGCAAUUCAGCAAUAAGUCUUCCGGAUUGAAAUCAACGGAGCAAGAAAGAACGGAACCCUACCUAACUUCCCAAGAAUCUGCAGGCUGCAGGAUGUGGGCCAAAUUCAGCGGAAGCAGCUGGCAACAACUGUGAGUUCGUAAGACGCAGAUGGCUUCGAAAAGUGCCCGAAAUCUGUUGAAAAAGAUACGAUCUUUGUGACCAAACUCGCGGUAGCCAUCUUCGGGUUAAAGUGAUAUUUAAACAGAAAUGAAAAUUUAAAUAAAUACUUUUGAUUGAUAAA